GGCUUAAAAAGGCCACUGUAGGGCUGGAGAGAUGGCUCAGAGGUAAAGAACACUGGCUGCUCUUCCAGGGGUCCUGAGUUCAAGUCCCAGCAACCACA
rnacentral:miRNA from 1 species